rnacentral:rRNA from 1 species
UACGUAGGGUGCAAGCGUUGUCCGGAAUUAUUGGGCGUAAAGAGCUCGUAGGCGGCUUGUUGCGUCGUCCGUGAAAACCUGCAGCUCAACUGCAGGCUUGCGGGCGAUACGGGCAGGCUAGAGUUCGGUAGGGGAGACUGGAAUUCCUGGUGUAGCGGUGAAAUGCGCAGAUAUCAGGAGGAACACCGGUGGCGAAGGCGGGUCUCUGGGCCGAUACUGACGCUGAGGAGCGAAAGCGUGGGGAGCGAACAGG